rnacentral:rRNA from 12 species
AAUGGGCGAAAGCCUGAUGCAGCGACGCCGCGUGAGGGAUGACGGCCUUCGGGUUGUAAACCUCUUUCAGCAGGGAAGAAGCGCAAGUGACGGUACCUGCAGAAGAAGCACCGGCUAACUACGUGCCAGCAGCCGCGGUAAUACGUAGGGUGCAAGCGUUGUCCGGAAUUAUUGGGCGUAAAGAGCUCGUAGGCGGUCUGUCGCGUCUGCUGUGAAAACGCGGGGCUCAACCCCGCGCCUGCAGUGGGUACGGGCAGACUAGAGUGCAGUAGGGGAGACUGGAAUUCCUGGUGUAGCGGUGGAAUGCGCAGAUAUCAGGAGGAACACCGAUGGCGAAG